rnacentral:rRNA from 1 species
AUGAACGCUAGCGAUAGGCUUAACCCAUGCAAGUCGAGGGGCAGCAUGGUCUUAGCUUGCUAAGACUGAUGGCGACCGGCGCACGGGUGCGUAACGCGUAUGCAACUCGCCUCACAGAGGGGGAUAACCCGUCGAAAGACGGACUAAUACCGCGUACACUCCAUCUUGGGCAUCCAAGGUAGAGGAAAUGAAAUUCGCUGUGAGAUAGGCAUGCGUCCCAUUAGCUAGUUGGUGAGGUAACGGCUCACCAAGGCGACGAUGGGUAGGGGAACUGAGAGGUUGAACCCCCACACUGGUACUGAGACACGGACCAGACUCCUACGGGAGGCAGCAGUGAGGAAUAUUGGUCAAUGGGCGAGAGCCUGAACCAGCCAAGUCGCGUGAAGGAUGACUGUCUUAUGGAUUGUAAACUUCUUUUAUACGGGAAUAACAAGAGUCACGUGUGACUCCCUGCAUGUACCGUAUGAAUAAGCAUCGGCUAACUCCGUG